rnacentral:siRNA from 1 species
CCCAGAAGGUGUUCGAUGG